UACAGCUCGCGCAACUGGUCCAAGGCAAUCCGAGUCCUCGACUCGCUCCUCAACCAGUCCUCUUCAAUCCAGGGCAUCUGCAACAGAGCCUUCUGUUACAGCCAAUUGGAGCUGCACAAGCAUGUGGUCAAGGAUUGUGAUAGGGCGCUUCAGCUCAACCCCGCGCUGCUUCAAGCUUACAUCCUCAAAGGUAGAGUUGUUCAAGCGGUGCCGAUUGGAAGUACCAUAAGUAUUUUCUAGAGUUUGCUGCAAA